GCCCGGGUAGCCGAAUUGGUCCAGGCAGCGCGCUUAAAACGCGUGACCCCUCGGGGUGUGCGGGUUCGAAUCCCGUCCCGGGCA
rnacentral:tRNA from 1 species